AUGUCCAUUGUAGCCAGCACCUCGAACUCUCCAUCGGCGGAAGCUUCCGACGUCUCCGACGAGUCGGCACUGUCGGACUCAGACGACGAUUGUGCAGGAGCGCUAGAUGGGGCCUCCUUGGCGACGGUCCUGGCUAUCAGGCCAUUGGCAGCCUCCCGUCGCUGGAAAUCCGCGACGGCCUGGAGGGCCGCGCGACGGACGUCGGCGAGGUUGGAGAGCGCGGACGGCACGGCGAGCAGCCACGCCGAGUCCGCGAAGUUGAGGCACCUUGCUGAGCGGCCGCCGAGUGCGAGCAUGGCGGCGUCGUUCGCGCGGGCGGCGGCCUCGGCCGUCAGGUACGUCCCGAGCCAGAGCCGAGCGCCACGCUUGCCGGGGACGCGCACCUCGCAGACCCACCGUCCCGCGUUGCCCCUGCGCCGCACGCCGCGGUACACCGGGUGCCGCGUCUCCCGGAACUUGGUGCGCCCCGUGGGGCGCUUGGCCGGCGACGCCCGCCCCGAUGCGUGCUCGGGCGUGGAUGACACAGACGAGGACGGGGAGGAGCUGGAAAGAUCCAUGCCCAUGUCCAUGGCUAACGCCGGAGUGCUUGGUGACGGACUGGUGGCGUCCUUCUUGAGCAGUCGAGCUUGGUGCUUGAGCUUAGUGAUGAGUGUGAGCUUAGCCGUGGGAUGCUUGAGCUUGAGUGAGAGUGUUCGGUGA
rnacentral:rRNA from 1 species